rnacentral:rRNA from 1 species
CGCGGCCUAUCAGCUUGUUGGUGGGGUAACGGCCUACCAAGGCGACGACGGGUAGCCGGCCUGAGAGGGCGACCGGCCACACUGGGACUGAGACACGGCCCAGACUCCUACGGGAGGCAGCAGUGGGGAAUAUUGCGCAAUGGGCGAAAGCCUGACGCAGCGACGCCGCGUGAGGGAUGAAGGCCUUCGGGUUGUAAACCUCUUUCAGCAGGGACGAAGCGAAAGUGACGGUACCUGCAGAAGAAGCACCGGCCAACUACGUGCCAGCAGCCGCGGUAAUACGUAGGGUGCAAGCGUUGUCCGGAAUUAUUGGGCGUAAAGAGCUCGUAGGCGGCCUGCCGCGUCGGCUGUGAAAACCCAGGGCCCAACCCUGGGCCUGCAGUCGAUACGGGCAGGCUAGAGUCCGGCAGGGGAGACUGGAAUUCCUGGUGUAGCGGUGAAAUGCGCAGAUAUCAGGAGAAACACCGGUGGCGAAGGCGGGUCUCUGGGCCGGAACUGACGCUGAGGAGCGAAAGCGUGGGGAGCGAACAGGAUUAGAUACCCUGGUAGUCCACGCCGUAAACGUUGGGCGCUAGGUGUGGGGAACCUUCCACGUUCUCCGUGCCGCAGCUAACGCAUUAAGCGCCCCGCCUGGGGA